rnacentral:lncRNA from 1 species
GCAUUUUUGUUGAUAGAUGAGUAUUCUUUUAGACUUUUUGAUCAAUAUGUUGUAUUUUUAAAUUAAAAUUCUGAAAAUUCUAAUUUAGGAAAGCUUUCAUUUUUAUAUAAAAAUAUUUUUGAUUUGGGGUUGUGAUUUUUAAAUUAUGAUGGCAAGAUUUUAAGUUGAUAUAUGGGUAUUUUUUAAGAUUUUUUGGUUAACAAGUUGUAUUUUUAAAAUAAAAUUAUCAAAAAUUCUAUUUUAGGACAAUUAUCGUUUUUACAUAAAAAUAUUGAAGAUUUGGGGGUUGUAAUUUUGAAAUUAGGAUAACAAGCACUUUUGUUGAUAGAUGAGUAUUCUUUUAGACUUUUUGAUCAAUAUGUUGUAUUUUUAAAUUAAAAUUCUGAAAAUUCUAAUUUAGAAAAGUUUUCAUUUUUAUAUAAAAAUAUUUUUAAUUUGGGGUUGUGAUUUUUAAAUUAGGAUGGCAAGAUUUUAAGUUGAUAGAUGGGUAUGUUUUAAGAUUUUUUGAUCAACAAGUUGUAUUUUUAAAAUAAAAUUAUCAUAAAUUAUAUUUUUGGAAUGUUUUCAUUUUUAUAGAAAAAUAUUGUUGAUUUGGGGUUGUGUUUUUUAAAUUAAGAUAACAAGCAUUUUUGUUGAUAGAUGAAUAUUCUUUUAGAUUUUUUGAUCAAUAUGUUGUAUUUU